CCUACGGGAGGCAGCAGUGGGGGAUAUUGCACAAUGGGGGGAACCCUGAUGCAGCGACGCCGCGUGGGUGAAGGAGCGUUUCGGCGCGUAAAGCCCUAUCGGAAGGGAAGAAGAUGACGGUACCUGACCAAGAAGCCCCGGCUAACUACGUGCCAGCAGCCGCGGGAAUACGUAGGGGGCAAGCGUUAUCCGGAUUUACUGGGUGUAAAGGGGGCGCAGACGGCAAUGCAAGCCAGGAGUGAAAGCCCGGGGCCCAACCCCGGGACUGCUCUUGGAACUGCAUGGCUGGAGUACAGGAGGGGCAGGCGGAAUGCCUAGUGUAGCGGUGAAAUGCGUAGAUAUUAGGAGGAACACCGGUGGCGAAGGCGGCCUGCUGGACUGUGACUGACGUUGAGGCCCGAAGGCGUGGGGAGCAAACAGGAUUAGAUACCCCAGUAGUC
rnacentral:rRNA from 1 species